rnacentral:rRNA from 1 species
UACGUAGGGGGCAAGCGUUGUCCGGAUUUAUUGGGCGUAAAGAGCGUGUAGGCGGCCAUGCAGGUCCGCUGUGAAAACUGGAGGCUUAACCUCCAGACGUCGGUGGAAACCCCCUGACUAGAGUCCGGAAGAGGAGAGUGGAAUCCUGGUGUAGCGGUGAAAUGCGCAGAUAUCAGGAAGAACACCCGUGGCUAAGGCGGCUCUCUAGUACGGUACUGACGCUGAGACGCGAAAGCGUGGGGAGCGAACAGG